AUCAGCCGAGCAAUGCCCAAAUCCCAAUAAUUAAUAAAAUAAACCUCCCAAGGCUGAGCAAACAGCCAACACAAUAACUGUCGUUGUAAUCCUUCACUAACCUGUUUGUGUAAACCCAGUUUAUCAAUUUCCGAUAAGACCCAACCCACACUCCCAUCACCUCCACAUGCCAGGAUCCGGAAUGUAGCAAACUUCUGGAACAGACGGAGGCUGUCAUGGAACAAACAAAGCUCAGCUUCACUCCAAAUAGGAAGCAAAGUUUGUGUGGUGCAACAGCAAAAGUCAAAUUACCCAAAUGUUUAAAACAAUCCCGCCCACGCCGGAAUUUCUUUAGAGCUUUCCUCACUCCAUGAUCUAAAUCUGCUGGAAUGAGCCGAAGAAGAAAUGGAAGCUCGACUUACCCAAGGUGGGGCCCACCAAUCAUCAGGUCGAAGACCUGUGCUGGAUUCAGGAGCUGUUUGAACUUCCUGAGGAACUUCACCCCCUGGUUAUCACCGCUCUUGGAGUUCACCAGGACCAAGAGGGGACUGGUGCAGGAUGAAGCAUAAGUGGCCUUCCAGAACCCUGAACAGAGACAAGGAUAGAAUACACAGCUGAGCAAUAUUACUCAGGCUGAAAGCUAAAACAAAAAAUUACAAGACAAACACUCAAAUAAACAUAUUUCACCUCUCUUCUA